rnacentral:rRNA from 1 species
GACGAACGCUGGCGGCGUGCUUAACACAUGCAAGUCGAACGAUGAACUUGGAGCUUGCUCUGGGGGAUUAGUGGCGAACGGGUGAGUAACACGUGAGUAACCUGCCCUGGACUCUGGGAUAACUUCGAGAAAUCGGAGCUAAUACCGGAUAGGACCUUGCACCGCAUGGUGUGGGGUGGAAAGUUUUUCGGUUUGGGAUGGAGUCGCGGCCUAUCAGCUUGUUGGUGAGGUAAUGGCGCACCAAGGCGGCGACGGGUAGCCGGCCUGAGAGGGUGACCGGACAAACUAGGACUGAGACACGGCCCCGGCGCCUACGGGAGGCAGCAGUGGGGAAUAUUGCACCAUGGGCGCAAGCCUGAUGCAGCAACGCCGCGGGCGGGAUGACGGCCAUCGGGUUGUAAACCGCUUGUAGUAGGGAAGAAGCCUUCGGGUGACGGUACCUGCAGAAAAAGGACCGGCUAACUACGUGCCAGCCGCCGCCGUAACAC